UAAGCAAUAUAUGCGUGUGCUAUAUUUUGCGCGGAGAAAUAAUUAUUCAUUCAGGAAUACAUUCAUGCAUCAAAACCCCACGGUCUACGGACUAGCAAACGAAGAGCGGCGGUUUGGUUCGUAUGCUAUCUCAUAAAUUGCGAUUUCACAACAUAGCGCGAAGUUAGAGUUUUCUGAAGAUCAAGAAUUUUUGUGUGUCAUUUGAGAUAUUUAUAUAUCACGUCUGUUUUGAAGAACGAUGAAUGCCAACAAAUAUGUUUAUAAUUUCACGACUCGAGACGAAAUUCGUGAAGCUCGGCCCACAAAAGCACAGUUGGUGGGAACUUCACGCAACCGAUUCCAUAUGCAGAUUCCAAUUCGCAACUCGCGGCGAUUCGUUGCAAUUGAUUUCACAAAUCGUGGAAGUUAAUUGUCAUGACUUGUUAUAAGAAACGACAGUAUUGGACGUGUCACGUAUAUGACAUUUUUUCAACACGAAGUCUAUUUAAUUGUAGUUUUCCAAACGCGCACUGAAGUCUGGCUUGCGUGAUAAUAGUUAUGGUAAAAUGCAUGAUCAUUGUAUAUUUUUAAUUUUUAGCUCAAAA